UGGGGAAUAUUGGGCAAUGGGGGAAACCCUGACCCAGCAACGCCGCGUGAGGGAAGAAGGUUUUCGGAUCGUAAACCUCUGUCCUUGGUGAAGAGAGAGAGACGGUAGCCAAGGAGGAAGCCCCGGCUAACUACGUGCCAGCAGCCGCGGUAAUACGUAGGGGGCGAGCGUUGUCCGGAAUGAUUGGGCGUAAAGGGCGCGUAGGCGGCCCGGUAAGUCUGGAGUGAAAGUCCUGCUUUUAAGGUGGGAAUUGCUUUGGAUACUGUCGGGCUUGAGUGCAGGAGAGGUAAGUGGAAUUCCCAGUGUAGCGGUGAAAUGCGUAGAGAUUGGGAGGAACACCAGUGGCGAAGGCGACUUACUGGACUGUAACUGACGCUGAGGCGCGAAAGUGUGGGGAGCAAACAGGAUUAGAUACCCUGGUA
rnacentral:rRNA from 1 species